rnacentral:rRNA from 1 species
GACGAACGCUGGCGGCGUGCCUAAUACAUGCAAGUAGAACGCACAGUUUAUACCGUAGCUUGCUACACCAUAGACUGUGAGUUGCGAACGGGUGAGUAACGCGUAGGUAACCUGCCUGGUAGCGGGGGAUAACUAUUGGAAACGAUAGCUAGUACCGCAUAAUAUUGAUUAUUGCAUGAUAAUUGAUUGAAAGAUGCUAUUGCAUCACUACCAGAUGGACCUGCGUUGUAUUAGCUAGUAGGUGAGGUAACGGCUCACCUAGGCGACGAUACAUAGCCGACCUGAGAGGGUGAUCGGCCACACUGGGACUGAGACACGGCCCAGACUCCUACGGGAGGCAGCAGUAGGGAAUCUUCGGCAAUGGACGAAAGUCUGACCGAGCAACGCCGCGUGAGUGAAGAAGGUUUUCGGAUCGUAAAGCUCUGUUGUAAGAGAAGAACGGGUGUGAGAGUGGAAAGUUCACACUGUGACGGUAUCUUACCAGAAAGGGACGGCUAACUACGUG